rnacentral:rRNA from 1 species
GUAGGGUGGCAAGCGUUGUCCGGAAUUAUUGGGCGUAAAGCGCGCGCAGGCGGUCCUUUAAGUCUGAUGUGAAAGCCCACGGCUCAACCGUGGAGGGUCAUUGGAAACUGGGGGACUUGAGUACAGAAGAGGAAAGCGGAAUUCCAAGUGUAGCGGUGAAAUGCGUAGAGAUUUGGAGGAACACCAGUGGCGAAGGCGGCUUUCUGGUCUGUAACUGACGCUGAGGCGCGAAAGCGUGGGGAGCAAACAGGAUUAGAUACCCUGGUAGUCCACGCCGUAAACGAUGAGUGCUAAGUGUUAGGGGGUUUCCGCCCCUUAGUGCUGCAGCUAACGCAUUAAGCACUCCGCCUGGGGAGUACGGCCGCAAAGGCUG